CACAACCAUUACUGUUAAAAAUCACAGCCAUGAACGGCACUGAUUUGAUUUAUUAUAUCUGAUUCUUGAAACUGCAUUCAUAAAAAGCCAAACGCUGCCGAAGCAUGACUUGAAAGAGAAUACAUUGACAAUUUAUGUCUGAAAGCUGUAAGACAACACAUGCAAACAGCCUGACAGGUGAUGAGCAACAGGCAUUAUUCAUAAUAUGCAAAUAAGGGCCACGGUGACGCGUGGCCUCUGGAAUCUGUUUACGUUCCACUGUGUGAAUUUUAUUAGCAUAAUGAACAACCCCAGAACGCUUUUAUUCUCCUGAGCACUUAUUUGUCGGUGUCAAGCACAAUUUCAUCAGAGCGGUUGCUUUAGUCGUCCUCAGAGGCCGUUCAUCACAAACUUCCGCCUGUCAAGUAGCAACCGAGACCUCCUUGUUCAUUUCAGCUCUCUGCGUCUCAUCAAAUUCCACUUCCCUCUUUCCUGUUUUCUGUUUUCUUCGCUACCUACUUAUUUUUACCACUUACUUUAGCAGUUGUUGCAUAUCAGUUAAACUGAAUUUUUUGGAAAAAAAAAAAAAAAAAAAAAAUGAAAGAGACUACACCACCAAGAUGUUGCCAGGGUGUUGCUAUGUGGUUGCUAAGGUAAUUUUUAGCAGGUUGCUAAGGGUGUUUCUGGUCCAAAUCUAAUCCAAAUCCACUUUGAUAUUCUGGUCACCAGAUAUGGCUUUGUUCCUUCCUUCACUGUAAGAAUUUUACAGUUUUUUAUUGACUUAACAACUGCAUGACAACACACUGGAAACAGAAAUACCCUAGCAACAGUAUAGACGUGUGUUAUAACCCACUCAGGACACCUUAGCAACCACAUAACAACACCCUGUCAACCAGAAACACUCUCGCAACAGAAUUGCAGUGUGUUAAAAUGAACCCAGCUGACCUUAGCAACCACAUGACAACACCUUGGCAACAAGAACACCCUACUAACCACAUUGCAACACUGUACGUAAGUCUGUAACAUAUUUUUAGCUGUUUUAUUGACUUAGCAACUGCGUAACAACAACCUGGAAACCAGAAAUACUCUAGCAACAGCUUAGCAUUGUGUUUGAAACCCACUGAGAUCACCUUAGCAGUAACAAUUUGGUAACCAAAUACACCCUUUCAACAGCAUAGCAAUGUAUCAAAACUCACUUAGAUGAACUAAGCAACCACAUGACAAUGCCAUGGCAACAAAAACACCCUAUUAAUUAUGUAGCAACACUGUACGUAAGUCUGUAAGAUUUUUUUCAGCUGUUUAAUUGACUUAGCAACUGAAUAACAACACCCUGGAAACCAAAAACACC